AGGACGAACGCUGGCGGCGUGCUUAACACAUGCAAGUCGAGCGGAAAGGCCCUUUCGGGGGGUACUCGAGCGGCGAACGGGUGAGUAACACGUGAGUAAUCUGCCCUGCGCUCUGGGAUAGCCACCGGAAACGGUGAUUAAUACCGGAUAUGACCUGUCCCUGCAUGGGGGUGGGUGGAAAGUUUUUUCGGCGUGGGAUGUGCUCGCGGCCUAUCAGCUUGUUGGUGAGGUAAUGGCUCACCAAGGCUUUGGCGGGUAGCCGGCCUGAGAGGGUGACCGGUCACACUGGGACUGAGACACGGCCCAGACUCCUACGGGAGGCAGCAGUGGGGAAUAGUUGGACAAGUGGGCGGAAGCCUGAUCCAGCAACGCCGCGUGAGGAUGAAGGCCUUCGGGUUGUAAACCUCUUUCAGUACCGACGAAGCGAGAGUGACGGUAGGACAGAAGAAGGACCGCCAACUACGUGCCAGCAGCCGC
rnacentral:rRNA from 1 species